AUUGAACGCUGGCGGCAGGCCUAACACAUGCAAGUCGAACGGUAACAGGAAGAAGCUUGCUUCUUUGCUGACGAGUGGCGGACGGGUGAGUCAUGUCUGGGAAACUGCCUGAUGGAGGGGGAUAACUACUGGAAACGGUAGCUAAUACCGCAUAACGUCGCAAGACCAAAGAGGGGGACCUUCGGGCCUCUUGCCAUCGUAUGUGCCCAGAUGGGAUUAGCUAGUAGGUGGGGUAACGGCUCAACUAGGCGACGAUCCCUAGCUGGUCCGAGAGGAUGACCGGCCACACUGGAACUGAGACACGGUCCAGGCUCCUACGGGAGGCAGCAGUGGGGAAUAUUGCACAAUGGGCGCAAGCCUGAUGCAGCCAUGCCGCGUGUAUGAAGAAGGCCUUCGGGUUGUAAAGUACUUUCAGCGGGGAGGAAGGGAGUAAAGUUAAUACCUUUACUCAUUGACGUUACCCGCAGAAGAAGCACCGGCUAACUCCGUG
rnacentral:rRNA from 1 species